CCCUGCUUCCAGGAAAAGCCUCUAAGCCUCAGGUAACAUCAAAUCGUACCCCAAACCGACACAGGUGGUCAGGUAGAGAAUACCAAGGCGCUUGAGAGAACUCGGGUGAAGGAACUAGGCAAAAUGGUGCCGUAACUUCGGGAGAAGGCACGCUGACACGUAGGUGAAGUGGUUUACCCAUGGAGCUGAAGUCAGUCGAAGAUACCAGCUGGCUGCAACUGUUUAUUAAAAACACAGCACUGUGCAAACACGAAAGUGGACGUAUACGGUGUGACGCCUGCCCGGUGCCGGAAGGUUAAUUGAUGGGGUCAGCGCAAGCGAAGCUCCUGAUCGAAGCCCCGGUAAACGGCGGCCGUAACUAUAACGGUCCUAAGGUAGCGAAAUUCCUUGUCGGGUAAGUUCCGACCUGCACGAAUGGCGUAAUGAUGGCCAGGCUGUCUCCACCCGGGACUCAGUGAAAUUGAACUCGCUGUGAAGAUGCAGUGUACCCGCGGCAAGACGGAAAGACCCCGUGAACCUUUACUAUAGCUUGACACUGAACACUGGUCCUUGAUGUGCAGGAUAGGUGGGAGGCUUUGAAGUGUGGACGCCAGUCUGCAUGGAGCCAUCCUUGAAAUACCACCCUUUAAUGGCUGGUGUUCUAACGUGGGCCCGUGAACCGGGUUGCGGACAGUGUCUGGUGGGUAGUUUGACUGGGGCGGUCUCCUCCUAAAGAGUAACGGAGGAGCACGAAGGUUGGCUAAUCCUGGUCGGACAUCAGGAGGUUAGUGCAAUGGCAUAAGCCAGCUUGACUGCGAGCGUGACGGCGCGAGCAGGUGCGAAAGCAGGUCAUAGUGAUCCGGUGGUUCUGAAUGGAAGGGCCAUCGCUCAACGGAUAAAAGGUACUCCGGGGAUAACAGGCUGAUACCGCCCAAGAGUUCAUAUCGACGGCGGUGUUUGGCACCUCGAUGUCGGCUCAUCACAUCCUGGGGCUGAAGUAGGUCCCAAGGGUAUGGCUGUUCGCCAUUUAAAGUGGUACGCGAGCUGGGUUUAGAACGUCGUGAGACAGUUCGGUCCCUAUCUGCCGUGGGCGCUGGAAGAUUGAGGGGGGCUGCUCCUAGUACGAGAGGACCGGAGUGGACGCAUCACUGGUGUUCGGGUUGUCAUGCCAAUGGCACUGCCCGGUAGCUACAUGCGGAAGAGAUAAGUGCUGAAAGCAUCUAAGCACGAAACUUGCCCCGAGAUGAAUCUUCCCUGAGCCUUUAAGGCUCCUGAAGGAACGUUGAAG
rnacentral:rRNA from 1 species